GACGGAGGGUGCAAGCGUUGUUCGGAAUUACUGGGCGUAAAGCGCGGGCAGGUGGCCUUUUAAGUCCUUUGUGAAAUUCCGGAGCUCAACUCCGGAUGUGCAUAGGAUACUGGAAGGCUUGAAUCCGGGAGAGGGAUGCGGAAUUCCAGGUGUAGCGGUGAAAUGCGUAGAUAUCUGGAGGAAUACCGGUGGCGAAGGCGGCAUCCUGGACCGACAUUGACGCUGAACGGCGAAAGCUAGGGGAGCAAACGGG
rnacentral:rRNA from 1 species